rnacentral:rRNA from 1 species
AUUGAACGCUGGCGGCAGGCCUAACACAUGCAAGUCGAACGAGUGGCGGACGUGUGAGUUAUGUCUGGGAAUCUGCCUGAUGGAGGGGGAUAGCUACUGGAACCGGUUGCUAAUCCCGCCUACCAUCACCUUGUCCCAGAUGGGAUUGGCUUGUUGGUGGGGUAACGGCUCACCAAGGCGACGAUCCGUAGCUGGUCUGAGAGGAUGACCAGACACACUGGAACUGAGACACGGUCCAGACUCCUACGGGAGGCAGCAGGGGGGAAUAUUGCACAAUGGGCGCAAGCCUGAUGCAGCCAUGCCGCGGGUAUGAAGAAGGCCUUCGGGUUGUAAAGUACUUUCAGCGGGGAGGCGUUACCCGCAGAAGAAGCACCGGCUAACUCCGUGCCAGCAGCCGCGGUAAUUC